UACAGAGACUGCAAGCGUUAUUCGGAUUCACUGGGCGUAAAGGGUGCGUAGGUGGCUUGGAAAGUUUGAUGUGAAAGCUCAGGGCUUAACCCUGAAAUGGCAUUGAAUACUGCUGAGCUGGAGGUUUGGAGGGGGGACUGGAAUUCUUGGUGUAGCAGUGAAAUGCGUAGAUAUCAAGAGGAACACCAGUGGCGAAGGCGAGUCCCUGGACAACACCUGACACUGAGGCACGAAAGCUAGGGGAGCAAACAGG
rnacentral:rRNA from 1 species